GACGCCGCAGCCUUGGCCCGCUGCGGGGGAGGGCCGAGAAGGGCACUGGGCGCCCAGAGUAACCAACACCGAGACGAAUAGCGAGGGCUCGGGGAGAAAAAACGGAGGAUGGCAAACGGCAAAGCCAAGGGCACGAGGUAGCGCAGCGCGCACCCAGAGGCUCCUGGGACGGACACCACCCCACGCUCACGGGUCCUCUGGCGGUGUCCUUUGAGCUGCCGGGACGGCGCAAGGUGGCUGAGCGAAGCUUUUUGCUCGGUGCUUACAGGGAGUACCUGAGAUGGUUUGGGAAAGGAAACAGGGGGUCUCAGACCGCUUGGGUGCAGCGCUCUCCCCAUGCGUUUGAGUGCAGAUCUGUCGAGACGCCCCAGCCCUCGCCACCCCACCAAGCUCUCAGGUAGAGAGGCCCCGGGACAGGGUGAGCCCCAUAGUCCUUUGGUGGGCAUAACACAGAGGGAGGAGCAAUUGUUUACACAUGUGCCCAGUACAAGAAGGGAAACUGAUAUUUAAGACUGAAGUGGGGAAACGGGAGGGAAAGGAGCCCUUAUCCUGGAUGUUAGACGCUAUUAAGGACCAUGCUAUUUUGUAUUUGUGAGAAUGAUAUUGAAGGUAAGGAGGUCCUUAUCCUUGAAGAUGCAUGCUGAAGUGUACAGAAGUGAAAUGUCACGAUGUCUGCAGUUUUCAAAUGAUGCAGCUAACAUACGCACACAUUAUGAGAGAGAGAACAGAAAGGAAGCAAGUAUUGCAAUAUGUUAACAGUUGUUGCAUCCUGUUGGGGGUGGGGGGUAAACAGACGUUCGUUGUACCGUUCUUUCAACUUGCCUAAAUAUUUGCAAAAUGCCAUAAUGAAAAUUUUGGAAGAGUUCCCUUAUAAAAUAGUGCCUGAAUGCUAAGAAAAUGAACGCGGCUUCUUUUCCUUUCCCUGUCCCGGGUGGGACAAAUCUGCGAGCAAGCAGGGCUCAAGGCCAGCGGGGUCUGGACGGGAAGAGCAAUGGGUAGAGCCG
rnacentral:lncRNA from 10 species